CUGGGAGGACCAUCUCCUAAGGCUAAAUACUCUCUAGUGACCGAUAGUGAACCAGUACCGUGAGGGAAAGGUGAAAAGCACCCCGGAAGGGGAGUGAAAUAGAACCUGAAACCGUGUGCUUACAAGUAGUCAGAGCCCGUUAAUGGGUGAUGGCGUGCCUUUUGUAGAAUGAACCGGCGAGUUACGAUUUGAUGCAAGGUUAAGCAGUAAAUGUGGAGCCGUAGCGAAAGCGAGUCUGAAUAGGGCGUUUAGUAUUUGGUCGUAGACCCGAAACCAGGUGAUCUACCCUUGGUCAGGUUGAAGUUCAGGUAACACUGAAUGGAGGACCGAACCGACUUACGUUGAAAAGUGAGCGGAUGAACUGAGGGUAGCGGAGAAAUUCCAAUCGAACCUGGAGAUAGCUGGUUCUCUCCGAAAUAGCUUUAGGGCUAGCCUCAAGUGAUGAUUAUUGGAGGUAGAGCACUGUUUGGACGAGGGGCCCCUCUCGGGUUACCGAAUUCAGACAAACUCCGAAUGCCAAUUAAUUUAACUUGGGAGUCAGAACAUGGGUGAUAAGGUCCGUGUUCGAAAGGGAAACAGCCCAGACCACCAGCUAAGGUCCCAAAAUAUAUGUUAAGUGGAAAAGGAUGUGGCGUUGCCCAGACAACUAGGAUGUUGGCUUAGAAGCAGCCAUCAUUUAAAGAGUGCGUAAUAGAUCACUAGUCGAGUGACACUGCGCCGAAAAUGUACCGGGGCUAAACAUAUUACCGAAGCUGUGGAUUGUCCUUUGGACAAUGGUAGGAGAGCGUUCUAAGGGCGUUGAAGCAUGAUCGUAAGGACAUGUGGAGCGCUUAGAAGUGAGAAUGCCGGUGUGAGUAGCGAAAGACGGGUGAGAAUCCCGUCCACCGAUUGACUAAGGUUUCCAGAGGAAGGCUCGUCCGCUCUGGGUUAGUCGGGUCCUAAGCUGAGGCCGACAGGCGUAGGCGAUGGAUAACAGGUUGAUAUUCCUGUACCACCUAUAAUCGUUUUAAUCGAUGGGGGGACGCAGUAGGAUAGGCGAAGCGUGCGAUUGGAUUGCACGUCUAAGCAGUAAGGCUGAGUAUUAGGCAAAUCCGGUACUCGUUAAGGCUGAGCUGUGAUGGGGAGAAGACAUUG
rnacentral:rRNA from 1 species